GAAUCUUCCGCAAUGGGCGCAAGCCUGACGGAGCGACACCGCGUGCAGGAUGAAGGCCUUCGGGUGGUAAACUGCUGUCACGCUAUAGGAAACCUUCGGGAUGACCAAAGCGAGAGGAAGCACCGGCUACCUCCGUGCCAGCAGCCGCGGUAAGACGGAGGGUGCAAACGUUGUUCGGAAUCACUGGGCAUAAAGCGCACGUAGGCGGUCCGUCCAGUCAGGUGUGAAAGCCCUCGGCUCAACCGAGGAAUUGCACUUGAAACUAGCGGGCUAGAGAACGGUAGGGGUGAGCGGAACUCCAGGUGGAGCGGUGAAAUGCGUAGAUAUCUGGAGGAACACCGGUGGCGAAAGCGGCUCACUGGACCGUCACUGACGCUGAGGUGCGAAAGCCAGGGGAGCAAACGGG
rnacentral:rRNA from 1 species